GAUGAACGCUGGCGGCGUGCCUAAUACAUGCAAGUCGAGCGAACGGACGAGAAGCUUGCUUCUCUGAUGUUAGCGGCGGACGGGUGAGUAACACGUGGAUAACCUACCUAUAAGACUGGGAUAACUUCGGGAAACCGGAGCUAAUACCGGAUAAUAUUUUGAACCGCAUGGUUCAAAAGUGAAAGACGGUCUUGCUGUCACUUCUAGAUGGAUCCGCGCUGCAUUAGCUAGUUGGUAUGGUAACGGCUUACCAAGGCAACGAUGCAUAGCCGACCGGAGAGGGGGGUCGCCCACACUGGAACUGGGCCACGGCCCAGACUCCUAAGAGAGGCAGCAGUCGGGAAUCUUCCGCAAUGGGCGAAAGCCUGACGGAGCAACGCCGCGUGAGUGAUGGAGGUCUUCGGAUCGUAAAACUCUGUUAUUAGGGAAGAACAUAUGUGGAAGUAACUGUGCACAUCUUGACGGUACCUAAUCAGAAAGCCACGGCUAACUACGUG
rnacentral:rRNA from 1 species